rnacentral:rRNA from 1 species
UACAGAGGUCUCAAGCGUUGUUCGGAUUUACUGGGCGUAAAGGGUGCGUAGGUGGUGGGGAAAGUCUGAUGUGAAAUCUCCAAGCUCAACUUGGAAAUGGCAUUGGAAACUACCCUGCUAGAGGGUUGAAGGGGGGACUGGAAUGCUCGGUGUAGCAGUGAAAUGCGUAGAUAUCGAGCGGAACACCAGUGGCGAAGGCGAGUCCCUGGACAACUCCUGACACUGAGGCACGAAAGCUACGGGAGCAAACAGG